rnacentral:lncRNA from 1 species
UGAGUUGAAAUCGUGAAGAACACCUCAAAAUCGCCCAAGAACCGAGCUCCAAAAAUCCCAAAAUAAAAAUGAAGAAAUCAGCAUUUUUGGUCCUUAAGUUUCUGUCCGCCCGUCACUAAAAGUCCAGUUUCGUCACUAAAAGUCGUCACUAAAAGUCCACCAGAGACAGCUUUACCAGCCAUAUUCAAUUGAUCAUAACUUUCUGUACAAAUGUCCAAAUGACAAAUGGUUUAAAUUUCUGUAAACUAGAAUACAAGGACUACAACUUUUAUGUUUUAUACAUUUUCCGAUUACAUAUAUAUUUCGAGAUAUAAGCUUCCAAAUUAGCCUCCUCGCAUCAGAAAUUUCUGGGAAAUUUCAAAACAGCUUUACUAGCCCUUAUUCAAUCGAUCAUCACUUUCUGUACAAAUAUCCAAAUGAUAAAUGGUUUAUAUUUCUGGAAACUAGAAUACAAAGGCUACAACUUUCAUGUUUUAUAUAUUUUCCGAUUCCUUAUAGAUUACGAGAAAUAAGAUUCCAAAUUAUGCUCCUCGCAUCAAAAUUUUCGAACCUUGCUGUCAAAAAUCCAGCAAGUUAAAUUGGCCUAAAAAUGGCCUGAAACCAUUCCGAAACUCACCCGAGCCCCGCGGGACUCUAACCAAGUAUGCUAACAUGUCUUAAAACAUCAUCCAAACUUGCUCCAAUCAUCAAAACACCUCAACUAACACUAAAAUCAUCGAAUUACAUCGAAUUCAAGCCUAAGUUCUUUUAAAACUUCCAAAACACGCAUUCGAUCAAAAACUCAACCAAACCAUGUCUGAAUGACCUGAAAUUUUGCGCACACAUCACAAAUAACAUAACAAAGCUACAGCAACUCUCAGAAUUCCAUUCCGACCCUCGGAUCAAAAUCUCACCUAUCAACCGGAAUUCGCUAAAAUACUAACUUCGCCAAUUCAAGCCUAAUUCUACACCGGACCUCUAAAAUUACUUCUGAUCACCCUCCUAAGUCACAAAUCAUCUCCCGGAGCUAACCGAACCAUCAGAAUUUACAUCCGAGCCCUCUAACUCAUAAGUCAGUGUUCGGUUGACUUUUUCAACUUAAGCCUUCUUAAAAGAGACUAAGUGUCUCAAUUCCUUUCAAAACCUUUCCGAAACAACUCGUUCACACCCAACACUGAUAAUGAAGCAUAAAGAAAUAGGAAAUGGGGAAAACGGGGCGGUAACUUACGAGACGACGGGUCGGAUCGUCACAAAUACCCAUUACGAGCAAAGAAUAUAAAUGCAUAGAAAACAUAAAGUCUCUAAACAAAUUCUAAAAUAAUUGCAUAACAACAGUUUAUGAAUAUUCUAAAAGAAAUUCUUUUCUUUUUCUAAAAAAAAUUACUUCUCUUUAUACUUUGGGAGUUCCAACUAUCUUGACUUAAUUCUAUCUCAGUCACCGUGUGAUCGGCACGGGUUCAAUCCCAACCUGAUCGAAUAGGCCCAAUCUACGAGGUGCCACUCGCUUCAUGGAUCUCAACGCUCAUGCAUCAUACCUUAGCAUGGCUAAGUAAUUUCUCAGCAACGAGACACUCGGCCCAUGUGCUCCCUACUUUGGCACAAGUAGUUUUAGGAAGUCAACGCCUUGGCCAGGAAUCUCGGCUUGGACGAUGAACCCUUUUCAGAAUAAAGGAUACUCUCAAGAAUCUUUUCUUUCUACAUCUUCUUGUGACUUUUCAAGUCUAUAUCUUUUCUUUUUGGAACAUCAUGUACAUGCUCAUGUUGUUAUCCUUAAAUGUAAAGCAUUGCAUAAUAAUGAAAUAAACAUCUAGAAGUAUUUCUAAAAAUUCUUGCUUCUUCAUAAAUUUUCAACAUGAAAAAUAGGAUAUAAGAAUAACACAAAAAUCUGAAAAUUUAUGCACAUAUAUCAUAAUAAAUCAUCUAAACUUUUGCUAGAACAAUUCUAAGUUAAUAGGUACUCACUCGCUCCAAUUAAGUAAAUAUAAACUCUUUUAAGAAAUUCAUCAAACACCUUGUAUGUGUGCUUUUGUGAGUUAAACCACUUUGGAAAAGGGUUAUAUCAACUCAUCUCAAAACUUCUCGAGCCAAUACGCAGGCCUCAGUCUAAUUGACACCAGUCAAACAAUUGAUUCUACAACAACCGGUGCAUUUUAAUCAAUUUUAAAGUUUCACACUAAAACAUGAAAUUUAUUGAUGAUAUAGAGGAAGAAAGGAAUUAACUAUCCAAUUCUUACAUACUGCUACUUUAGGGUAAUUGACAAUAGGAAAUUUUAUAUACCUGAGUUCAAGAAUUGGUAGUUUGUAAAGAACCCUAAAAUUUUCUUUUCGUUCCUGCUGCUUUGCGCUUGCUGCGUAAACAAAAUAACAUUAUGUUUCUUGUAUAAGGGCUAAGCAACG